rnacentral:rRNA from 1 species
GAUGAACGCUAGCGGCAGCCUUAAUACAUGCAAGUCGUGGGGCAGCAGGUCUGUAGCAAUACAGAUGCUGGCGACCGGCAAACGGGUGCGGAACACGUACACAACUUUCCUUUAAGUGGGGAAUAGCCCAGAGAAAUUUGGAGUAAUACCCCGUAACAUAGUGAAAAGGCAUCUUUUUAUUAUUAUAGCAGCCAUGCGCUUAAUGAUGGGUGUGCGUCUGAUUAGGUAGUUGGCGGAGUAAUAGCCCACCAAGCCUACGAUCAGUAACUGGUGUGAGAGCACGACCAGUCACACGGGCACUGAGACACGGGCCCGACUCCUACGGGAGGCAGCAGUAAGGAAUAUUGGGCAAUGGACGCAAGUCUGACCCAGCCAUGCCGCGCGGAGGAUGAAGGUCCUCUGGAUUGUAAACUUCUUUUAUCUGGGAAGAAAUCCAUCUUUUCUUGGGUGGUUGACGGUACCAGAUGAAUAAGCACCGGCUAACUCCGUGCCAGCCGCCGCCGUAAAAC